rnacentral:tRNA from 1 species
GGGGUUAUGGCUCAGUGGUGGAGCGCUGGCCUCGCACUCGGGAGACCCUGGGUUCAAUCCCCAGCACCCCA